rnacentral:rRNA from 1 species
GAUGAACGCUAGCGGCAGGCCUAAUACAUGCAAGUCGGACGGGAUUGGAGAGCUUGCUUUCCAUGAGAGUGGCGCACGGGUGCGUAACACGUAUGUAACCUACCUUCGUCAGGGGGAUAGCCUCUCGAAAGAGAGAUUAAGACCGCAUAACAUUAUGAUGCAGCAUUGCAUUAUAAUCAAAUAUUUAUAGGACGAAGAUGGGCAUGCGGAACAUUAGCUAGUUGGUGAGGUAACGGCUCACCAAGGCGACGAUGUUUAGGGGAUCUGAGAGGAUGACCCCCCACACUGGUACUGAGACACGGACCAGACUCCUACGGGAGGCAGCAGUAAGGAAUAUUGGUCAAUGGACGGAAGUCUGAACCAGCCAUGCCGCGUGCAGGAAGACGGCCCUAUGGGUUGUAAACUGCUUUUGCAGGGGAAUAAACCCCGAUACGUGUAUCGGGCUGAAUGUACUCUGAGAAUAAGG